GCCUAGAAAACGUAAAGUAUUUCAAGAGUUUUUAUAUUUUCAUUACAUCUUUGUCCUUAUUUUUCUAUAUCCGUAGCUCUACCAUGCGCGUAUGCGGGGGCGCCAAAAUAGGGAGAAAAGGGAAGGAAAGAAAAGGGGAGGAAAAGGGAGGGAGAGAAUAAGAGAAAGGGGGCAAGAAAGAGAGGAGGGAAAAAGAAGCACCGCAUUGGUGUUCGACCUAGGGGGGGGGGGGCGCGCCGAAUCGAUAAUCGACCUAGGGGCGCCAAAUUUAAGUCCAACAUAGAUAGGGGAGCCGAAAUUUGGUUCGAAAUAAGAGGCGUCGAGUUGAUAUCCGACCUAGGGGGCGCCGAAUUGAUGUUCGACCUAGGGGGCGCCAAAUCGAUGUUCGACCUAGGGGGUGCCAAAUUGAUGUUCAACCUAGGUAGGGGGGGGGGGAGCAAAUUGAUGUUUUACCUCGGGGAGCCGUAUAGAUGUUCGACAUAGGAGGGUGCCGAAUCGAAGUUCGACAUAGGGGCACUAAGGGGGCGCCGAAUCGAUAUUUUUUUCGUAGGGUUGCCGAAUUGCUGUUUGACAUGGGGGGGAUGCGCCGAAUUGAUGUUCAACCUAGAGCAUGUAGGGGGUGCCGAAUUUAUGUUUUGCUUAGGGGCGCCGAAUUGAUGUUCCACCAAGGGUGUGCCAAAUUGAUAUUCAUCCUAGGGGGGGGGGGGUGGUGAAUUGAAGUUUUACCCUCGGGGCGCCGUAUAAAUGUUCGAAAUAGGGGCACUGAGGGGCGCCGAAAUGAUGUUUAACCUUGGGGCUGGGGCGCCGAAUCAAUUUUUUUCCUAGGGUUGUCGAGUUGCUGUUUGACAUAUAGGGGCGCCGAAUUGAUGUUCAACCUAGGGGGUGCCGAAUGGAUGUUCACCACACGCCAAUUUGAUAUUUGUCUCGGUUCCUUAAAAUUCAGGUUCAAUUCAGGUAUUAUGUCAUUAUAUGAAUUGUGUUUUUGUGAAUGAUUAUUUUAUAGUAGUUUUCAUAGUUAGCACUGCUGCUAUAUUAAAUCGCGUAAUGCAGGCGAGACUGCCAGAUGCGUUCCACUUGUUUUUCUUUUUUUCUUUCCCUGAAGAAGAGCACAGUGCAGGAAAUGGGAUACUACCAUCAGGGACUUAUUACUAUCACUGCACAUCCAAUCAAAGAUGCCCAAUCAUCUUAACAAAUCAGAGCUGUUUUCAUCCUUUCCUGGGGAAUUCCUUCAGAGAGGCGGUUCGAAGUCUGACUAUACAUCUGAUUCUGCAUUUAAUUCCAGCCAAAGCUUUUCAAGCAGUGCAACAAACUCUCAAGUUAUGGGAUCUCAGAUGGAGAAUUCACAAUCUAGCUCCUUUGAUCUCUUUUCUCAAAUGAUGUCUCAACAACAGGGUUACUCACAACAAAAUGAGGGCACAUCUUCGAACUUCUACAUGAAAUAUAUGUCAAAGCCUCCACUCUUUCAGAAAGAUGGUGCAUCAAAGAAAACUACAUGUACACUUCCAAGGAGAAAGAGUUUCCAAGGAAUGCAAGAGUUUUACAGAGAAAAGGCCAAAGAUAGAGAUGAUAGGUACAUUAAGCAUACUUGAUGUCUUUUAAUUAAUUUGUUUCAUUGAUUGUUUCUCUAGAGUAAAACAUAUCAUUUUUAUCUCCCGAACAUCAAUAGAAGAAAGACUGACAUCAAAUUUUAGUCUUUGGUUGACUAUUAUUAUAGUCCAUCAUGCUCUACCAAAGUCUUAAAAGAUUCUGUGCCAUCCAAAUCCAACUUGAUUACUAUUGAUGCAUAGUGCUUAAUAAAUCUCAAUGUUACAAAUUGGUACUCCAUACCGGUGUGUUGGCUCAGUUGGUAGAGCGUCCGUCUUGUACAUCGCCUUGGCAGCAGCAGCAAUGCGCAUUUAGCCAUGUUUAGCCCUUCGCGUAUUGCACCCGCAUUCAUAAGCGCAAUGAAUGUAUUAUUGAAGAAUCCAAAUAUGUUUCAUAGAGUUUUAACCAAUUUAAAGAAAAAAACGUUUUUCAACUUGCCAUUCUCCACCCCUGAAAAGAGAGCUGAUCUCAUUUCCUUUUUGACAUCAUGGAGGUAAAAUGACAGGAGGGUGGAUGAGGAAUUUUAAUCCCUGAAGCCGAUCAAGAUUUUGUCCCACUGAAUAAACAUCCAUUCAAAAUAUUGGUCAAGUACUCCAUACCGGUGUGUUGGCUCAGUUGGUAGAGCGUCCGUCUUGUACAUCGCCUUGGCAGCAGCAGCAAUGCGCAUUUAGCCAGUAAGCCCUUCGCGUAUUGCACCCGCAUUCAUAAGCGCAAUGAAUGUAUUUUCUUAUGACAUCAAGACUGUGCAAUGGUACAUUUUGGACAGUACGUGUUCAAUUGAAUGCUAGCAUUCAGCCUCCCAUUUGAUUGCGUACAACAAGCUAAGUAGGCAUUGUACAUUAAUGAAUGCACAGCUGAGUGCAGCUUUAAAAAUCAGCAAGAAAUUCAUCCACAUUGUGCUGCACUCAACCCGGUUGAGGUGAAUGGGUACCUGGCAGAAAUUUGUUCCUUGAAAUGCCACCGUCCUGUAAAAGGCUGCGGGGCUAAAGCCAGGGUAAUAAUAUCCAAGUCCUUUGGAAACGCAUAGGGACGUACAAGAACUGCGUUAUUAUUAUUAUCGUGCAUCAUGACCAUGAUAUGUUCAAGCAUGGUUAAGAUGUUGUGGGACAUGGACGUGCUGUUGAUGGAUUGUCAUGUUGGAGACUCAUGGAUUUUGUAAUAACUAGCCCCAUCUUAAAGGGGGAGUGAACUGUGUGUUAUAAAUACCUAGUCUUAACCCUAAUUCUCCCGGGGUAUUUUUAUUCUUGUCAUUCCCGGGGGGGGGGGGGGGGGGCCCAUUAUGGCCCCCCCUUAAGAUCUCAGCCGCGGAUUGCGCGAUCACAACCAAAAUUUGCAUGAUGGUAGAGAAUGAUGUAUUCUACGCAGUUGCAUUGGUAAAUUUCACUGAAUUCAUAUAUUUUUAUUUUAUAUGAAUUAAUUAUGCUAAUUUAUUCAUGAAAUCAUACUUUUUGCUCUGAUUCACUAAAUAAAGCUCCUAGAAUGCUAGUUUUUGGUGAAAAUAUUCUCUAUAGCAUUCCUAACAAUUGUGAAUGAAAAAAAUUCUGGUACCAAGACCGAUUUCUUAUGUAUUUCCUUGUUUUUUCACUUUUUGUUUUUUAUUGUUUUUUCGAUGGAAAUCGUUCCAGACUUAAUUCUGAUCAUAAACAAGGCAAAAUUAAAUAAGUUUAAUUAGUAAAAGUAGAAAUAUUGAUACAUUUAAUAAUAUUGGCUAAAUACACAAUUUGCAUUGGAUUUGGACAUGAAAUCACGUUUUUGAGCAAUUUUGGGUCUGACAUGCACUUACAUAAUGUUGCGUAAUGUCGUAACCGCGUACCCGGGCGUCACAAAUUUGGUCUCAAAAUUUGCGCGAGACUUGAAAGUAAAAAGUCAGUGAGCAGUGAGGUCAAAAAAAUUUGCGCAGCAGAUAUAUCGCGAAAAUUGUUGAGGGGGGGCCAUUAUGGCCCCCCCCCCCCCGGCAGAAUUAGGGUUAAAAUACACGUUUUCAGAUAUCUACUAAUACUAUAAAAGAUAAUAAAUUGACCUACAUGUACAUGUAUAAUUGUAUUUGUAUAGAGAUACUAAAAUGUUUUGAGAGGAAAAGUAAUUAGUUUGCUACUUGGUAAAAUAAUUAUUGCAGUAUAAAUGUAUUGAGUAGUUAAUUAGCAUGUUAUCCUUCAAGUGGGUCUAUAUUACUAGACUACACUAGCAUUAUGGGACAGGAAACUGGCCAGGUAUGAGAACUUGAGGACUCAAGAUGGCGCUUUUGGUUCAUAUCUGCUUUAAGAGAGUGUUGUUGGCUCAGUUGGUAAAAUGUCUGCCUGUCGAACCAAAGAUCGUGGGUUCGAGUACGCCCCAGGCAGAUGACUGAAGCCAGUGCGUUGUGUGUUAACGUCUCUCCCCUGUUUCAUAGAUGCAGGCUAUGUUAACUCUUUGCCCGCCACGUACACUAUCCCCUCUGCGCAACAUUAAUUUUGGGGUGCCACAUUCAGAGGGGGUUUGCGUGCACUGUCCUAUUCAACUCGCAAUAACUUUUUACUGGUUUGUCGUAUUGAAAAAAAUUGUGUAGCAAAGUUUUAGAGAAAUGAAUACUCUUGCCAAUGGUAUCAUUUUUGCUAUGUAUAAAAUCAUGGAUUUUGAGAAUUUUAACUUUACAUUCUGUUUCCAAUUUUUCGUUUAGGAGGGUAUUUUAUACCUCUUAUAUUCAAUACUUCCUAAUGAAGGUUAAAUUUCUAAGUUAGUCCAUUGAAAAGAUGUGUUCUUUAGCUUUCAUUACAUACCAAAUCCAUGUCUUUAUGGUCAUUAUGAGCUAAGCAGUUUAGGAUUGAAAUGGGGCAUUCAAAAAGAGCAAACUGACAAUGAACUAAACUCUUCUAUUGAAAUUGUCCCUGGCUGCUUCUCAAUAGUCUUCCCGUCCUGGGAGACUUCCUGUCCUGGGAGACUUCCCGUCAAUUGAUACUUUGAUCCCCUUAUUGUUAUAGGGAGGUGGCAAUUUGUAUCAUUCUUUUAUUACAAGGAAAGCAGUGCAAGCUAUUGAAAGCUCAUCUAAAUAUAUCCUAAAGCAGUUCAAAAAACUCAAUUUUACCCGAAAAAUCUCUAUGUAAACAACGUCGAUGAAAGCUAUAACACGAAAGCUAGAUUCGUAAACAAUGCAAUACACGCGUCCCUAUUGUAUGUGUGUGUACACAAUUACAAUUAAAUGCGUUCCGUAUGCAUUGUGUGCGAACUGUGACUUGAGUCGUUGUUGGCAUUUCUUUGGAUAGGACAUUAAGUGGAGAGUCAACACCUUUGCACGAUAAGAACCCACUGCAUCAUUCGAAUAAGAGUAGGGGGAAACCUAGGUGUAGUGGUCCACCUGCACUCCCCCCAAUCAGUUAUAUUGGGAGGAGAGACCUGCGGGUCAUAGUGAUUCAGCUUGCUUUUCGCCUCCCAGGCACAAGUGACGCCAAAAAAAUGAUAAUGAUAAUAAUAAUAGUUCAAAGAUGGGAAAAUGUAUCACUAGAAUUGGAGUUCAAAUCUAAGUAAGGUAUUUAGUGCAACAUCUGAUGCAUCCCCCCAACUUCCUACCCACCCCAUCCAAUACCAUGUAAAUAUCCUAGUUUUGUUGCACAAGUGGCUGAUUUUCAUGACGAUAAUGAAAAUGGUAAUCAUUUUCACAAUUUUAUAAUUUACCUACAUGUAGGACUUGCCCUAAAAUUAUCUUUCCCUCCAACACAGGGGCUAAAAAAGGGUAAUUCUACAACAAUGAAUGUAGAUACUAGAUUUAUUUUGAAUUUCCAAAAUGCUCCAUUGGGCAUGUUGUGUCAAACCUUUGACUAUAAGGGGAGGAUGUUUUGGCCAUUUCUUGGCAGUUUUCCACAACUAUUUUUCUUUUCAAAAUGCCGAACAAUUAAAAAAAUAAAAAUGAAAUUACCAGUCAAUAUCGAGCUUUGGGAACAUGGUACUCUCCAUUAGAAUAAUACAUACACAUUAACCCUAAACUUUAACCCCCCCUCAACAUUUUCUGUGAUCAUUCCGCCGCGCGAAAUUUUUUGACCGCGCCACUCGCAGAGUUUAUACUUUUAAAUCUCUCGCAUCUUUUGAGACCAAAUUUAUGACGCCCGGGUACGCGGUUCUGAAAUCACGCAACAUUUCGUAAGUGCAUGUCAGACCAAAACUUGUUCCAAAACGUGAUUUUGUGUACAAAGUCAAUGCAAAUUGAUUUUUCUCAUCUUAUUCAUAAAGAUAUGAUUAUUUUUACUUUAAACAGCUGAAAUCAAUUGAUUUUAGCAUAAUUAUGCUUCAAAAAGGUUGUGCAAUAAAUCUGGUGAAAAAAACAAAGAAAAAAAAGAGGUUGAAAAACAUAGAAAUACAUAAGAAAUUCAUAAAACAAUAAAAUACAUUCAAUUGCAAUUGUUAAGAAUGCUACAAAGAAUAUUUUUACCAAAAAUUAGCUUUCUAGGAGCUUUAUUUAGUGAAUUAGAGCAAAAAGUAUGAUUUAUGCAUAAAUUAGCAUAAUUAAUUCAUAUGAAAUAAAAUUUCAUUAUUUUGGAAAAUUUUACCAUACAGCCUUGUAGAUUACAUUGCACACUACC